CAUACAGCGUACGGCCGUUUCAAUACCGGGCAACAACGAAAAUCAGUCUGUUUCUCCCCUGUGAUUGGACUUUGUAGGAUGAACGUUGAGAUUCAUUAGGGCACGGGGGUGACCGACAAAGUCUGAAUUGGUCUAAUAAUCUGGGUGCCAACGCCGAGGCGCGCUCGCCACGACAGCGCUCCAGGAGAGAGUUCGUGUCGCUCUGCGCUUCCUCCGCCGUCGAGGCAACCAGCUGGGGCUGGAGGGGGAGGAUUUGGUGUCGCGGUUUCAGCGUUCCGACGAGGAUGCGCACUUCGCUUGCGCGUCGAGCGGUGCUGGUGCGUGCGAGCACCCGGAGCAGGCUUGGAACCCGGCGGCUCUGCCACUGAGUGGAGCAGCGAGAGAGAGGAGAGAAGAGAGAGAGAACAGGAGAAGAGAGAGGAGAGGAGAGAGAGGGCGCGCGGAAGUCCGCAGCACACCAGCCGAGGCGCUCCAACCCAGCCCAGCCCCUGACCAAGGUCGUCCGUGGACGUUUCACAAGAUGCUGUAUGGCCGUGGGGCUUGAAGGGACAGGCUUCUCUCUGUGCAUGUUAAUAAAAUUGCCGCAAUUGUCAGGAAUUCUUCGGGAAGAGAGGGGGGGAAAAAAAUCAGGUCUCGAGCCUCAGCUCAAGUCUACGGUCGUAAUUGCUUCGCGUACCACGAAAGAAAAUACUCUUGAUGCUUUUUUUGAAGGGCUACUGCCAAAAAAAAAACAUUCGCUUGUUUCUCCAUCGUAAAA